rnacentral:rRNA from 1 species
UACGUAGGGGGCGAGCGUUUGUCCGGAAUCAUUGGGCGUAAAGCGCGUGUAGGCGGUUCAGUAAGUCUGCUGUGAAAGUCCAGGCUCAACCCUGGGAUGCCGGUGGAUACUGCUGAACUAGAGUGCGGAAGAGGCGAGUGGAAUUCCCGGUGUAGCGGUGAAAUGCGCAGAUAUCGGGAGGAACACCAAUUGCGAAGGCAGCUCGCUGGGACGUUACUGACGCUGAGACGCGAAAGCGUGGGGGAGCAAACAGG